GAUAAACGCUGGCGGCGCACAUAAGACAUGCAAGUCGAACGAACUUAACUCAUUCUUUUAGUUUGAGAGCGGUUAGUGGCGGACUGGUGAGUAACACGUAAGCAACCUGCCUAUUAGAGGGGAAUAACAGUGAGAAAUCAUUGCUAAUACCGCAUAUGCUAACAGUAUCGCAUGAUACAGUUAGGAAAGGAGCAAUCCGCUAAUAGAUGGGCUUGCGUCUGAUUAGAUAGUUGGUGGGGUAACGGCCGUACCAAGGCGACGAUCAGUAGCCGACCUGAGAGGGUGACCGGCCACAUUGGGACUGAGACACGGCCCAAACUCCUACGGGAGGCAGCAGUGGGGAAUAUUGCACAAUGGGCGAAAGCCUGAUGCAGCGACGCCGCGUGAAUGAAGAAGUAUUUCGGUAUGUAAAG
rnacentral:rRNA from 1 species